rnacentral:lncRNA from 1 species
CUUCAAGGUAGCACAUAGGGAUAAUGAUAACCUAGAUUUUUUGGUAAAAGAAUAUUCUGAUACCCACAAAAAUAUUUAGGUCUAGCAUAUGAUUUUGUUUUAUUCUGAAUCCAGAUUUUCCUCAUACAUUAUAGUGUUAAAUUUAAAAAAGAAUAAUUUGAUUGAUAUCGUUGAAAAAUUAAAAAAACAGUUCUGACUCAGAAAAAAGACCCAUAUCCAUCCAUCAAGUUAGAAGGUUGCUUGCUGAUUGACCUUUUCUGAAAUCAUAAUAACUUUUAUCUUUAAAGUAAUAGUAUAUGAUAAUUUUUUCAUAAAGAUAAAUAUACAUGCCACGAA